GACUUUAGAAGAGAGCUUUCUUCAGUCCAGUUAUGGGAGGCCGUAGGAUUCAAUUUGCUGUUGACUCAUUCAUCCAAAUGCUGUGUAGUUGAUGAGUUUUACACGGUAACUGAGUGAAUGAUGCGAGAGUCAAGUUGAAUCUUAAGCUUUCUGUACUUGGACUGAAGGGAGCUCCCUUCCACUGUUUU
rnacentral:pre_miRNA from 1 species